UACAGAGGUGGCAAGCGUUGUUCGGAAUUACUGGGCGUAAAGCGCGUGUAGGCGGCUCUUCAAGUCAGGCGUGAAAGCCCCGGGCUCAACUCGGGAACUGCGCUUGAUACUGUCGAGCUAGAGUGUGGAAGGGGCGAUUGGAAUUCCGUGUGUAGCGGUGAAAUGCGUAGAUAUACGGAGGAACACCAGAGGCGAAGGCGGAUCGCUGGGCCAACACUGACGCUGAGACGCGAAAGCCAGGGGAGCGAACGGG
rnacentral:rRNA from 1 species